GCAGUAGUGAGGUAAAACACGAUUCCUUCCAACUGCCUCGCGGAGGAUAUGCAGUCAUUCGGUUUGACUUGAACAGCUUGCCGCUCUCUGAUGGCACGCGGAGGGAGAAUAAUUAAAAAGGCCAGCAUCACUUACUAAAACUCUCCCUCUUGAGCGGAUAAAGGGAAAGAUAGGAGUCCCCGGAAGAGAUCCUGCCUGCAGUUUGGAAGAAAGGCUUUCCGUGGUGCCUGAAAUAACUUCAACAGAAAAUGGCACUUCAGCCAGUGGCAGGGGCAGCUAGAAGGCCCCUCUUCUCACCCAGCAACGUCUCACAGCCGUACGAGCUUUCAAAUUUCCAAGGUGCUCUUCACACGUAUUAUGCUGUUUAAUUCUCACUAUAGCCAGCGAUACGGGGGAUACAGACAGUAUUUGCCUUACUUUACAGAUGAGAAUACUCAGGCUCUGAGAGAGGCCCUGCCUCAGGUGAAAAGCUAGUGAGAGGAAGUCAUAGGUGGUCUGGAUCUUAAUCUGAUGCCAUGUUAUUAUUCUCCCUAGGUCCUUACCAGAGAGAUCCUUUUUAGAAGUCCUCACCCAAAGCCUCCUUGAGUCUUGAGUCUCUUUCAUACCCCUCACUUCCUCACGAGGAGUUUCCCAUCAUGUGACCUUUUCCAUUUGUAGCUUGUACCAUUUGAACAUGCUCCUUGUGUCCUGGCAGCAGCUGAGCUUGUUCCCCCCAGCAGUGCAGAGGUAACUCUUCCCACCUUUCCAUCCUCCUCCACUUGCUUCUCCUCUCUGCUCCUCUGAAGCUCAAACUUACUCAUAUGCUGCCUACAUUUACUUCUUCAUUCCUCAUUGUAUCUCUGCUCCAGGCAAUCUGCUUUCUUUCCUGCUUCCCCUCUAAAAACUCCACAAGGCAUGGCGUACUCCAUUAAACUGGGCUUCCCUUCCCUGAUGCAUCAUUGUGUUUUGUUGAUCUCAUCCUCCUUCAUAAAACUCAUCUUGGCUUUACCUGACACUAUUGCAUUCUCUAUCCAUUUCUGGCUACUUGUAUUCAGGCUUCAUCUCAGACCGCUCUUCCUCUCUUAAUCCCUCAAAUGUUAGUGUUCCUGCACAGGAUUUCUGUGGCUGUCUUCUCUUCUCAAUUGUACACACUUUGCUUUGUGUAACACAAGCCAUUGGCGUCCAUGGUCAUCAAAACAUGUAUUAUCAAGUCAUCAAGUCAUCACCUCUAGCCCAAACCACUCUCCUGAACUCAACCCAGGAGUUUGUACUGGCUGGUGAUGAGUUAGAUGCUGCUGGAAGCUGGAGUAAGUCAAAUUGCCAGGCCUCCAGAGCCUAGGAUUUAAAGGUGACUCAGCAAAAUUAUAGAUGAUUCCCAUUAGGUUCUGUAUCUAGAUACAGAGGAUUAUACAUGAUUUGUGUUCUUUCUUCUCCUCCCUUGGUUUAUUUUCCUGGUGGCUUUUCCAAAAGCUUACUGGUUAUCUUCAUUCUCAGAGGUGCCUGGCCUGGGAUGCAUUCACUGUACUACUUUAACUGAUCUAGAUAUGAUGGCCUGCCCUGCUGGCCCCUGUUAGAUCCUUCAGAGGAGUCCACUUUCCUGCUUGGCCUUCCAGGAUACUUGCAGUUGCUCUUGCCGCUCUCUAGUCUUCCUUCUCGUAACUUGCACUUUCCACUCUAUGCUCUGCAUCACAGAUGUCUUGGAACUCAUCCAUAUCUGUAGGAAACCUUUUAGAGCAUUCAGUGAUAGCAAACAGCCCGCUGACGCACCCAUUCCAUAGGUUUGCCACCAGUGCUCUAAGGUUUCAUACCAUGGUCCCAACUUGAAGGCUGUUCAACUCUACUUCCUUCAUUUGUUUUUUUCCACACAGGUCUUACGAUGUAGUCCAGACCAGACUUGAACUUGCUGUGCAGCCCAGGCAGGUCCUGACCUUGCAGUUCUCAUGCCUCAGCCUUCCAAAUGAUGGGAUUGUAGGUGUGAGCCAUCAUGCCUGGUUUACUUACAUCAUUCUGGGAAUUCCUCUCCACCUUCAGCAUUCUGUUCAAGCAAAAAGCACACCCUCUUCCCAGCCUCCACUCUGUAUUCUGUGUGGCCACAAACCUUCUCCCCUUUCCUUUCCUCACAGUUUUUAUCCCUCUUUUACAAUGACCAAAUUUUCCCAUUUGAACUUGAGAUGCUCAGAGGGAGAGUGCCUUUUAUACCUGUGUUCCUGGUAUCCAGCAAAGUCCUGACAUGAAUUGGGUCCUUAAUAAAUUAACAUUACUAUUUUUAUACUAUCAUAAAUAAUGUUUUUUCAGGUGUAAGAUCACAAGGUCUCCAAAAUAAUCAAGCUGAGGGAAAUAUAGCAACCAUUUCCCAUAGAGAACAAGGGAUUUCCUAUGGUGCAAUUCUCACCUACAUCAGUUUUUGACUUCUGUCAGGAGAGAGACAAGCACUAGGGUGGUCUUUAGGUGUUUGCUGAUGCGGUAGAAACUUUAGAGUUAAUUAGCAGCUCUGGCUAAAGCUGAACUUCCUUUGUGGAAUUUCUGGGAGGAAACACAAAAUUAACAGUUCAAGGUUGUUAUUAGAAAAGUGGCCUGUUUCCCUUAAGCUAUGCCAUAGGGAGCUUGUUCUCCUCUCUGCCAAUUCUAAGGUGUUUUCCUUUUGAUCUGGGCACACUUGUUACCUUAAGGUGGGUCAUUUCAAUAAAGGUGGACACUCUUGAGAUCAAGGAGAUCUUCUCCGACCAUCUCCCAGCAGGAGGAGACCUUGGAAGCUCCAUGAUUACCCAGUGGAACUAAAUAUAGGGAAAAUCUGCCCAUGACAGCACAGGGAUGAGGAUGGUUUUGUAAGUUCUCAUCUUUCAUGCAGAAAAUGGCCUGAGGUCAGCAGUGCCAGACCUCCCUGGAAGUCCCAAGAAAUGUCUCAAGGCAUUAUUAGGAAUUGUUAUAUUUGGAAGUACAUUGGUUUUCAUUGUCGCAGUAGUUAUGCUUCAUAAAGUCACUACGGACACCAAAUUAGUGAACACUGAGCCACUGGUCCUAGAAGAAAUAGGGCCAUAGGUUCCUGCAAGCCUCUUACCAUUUUCCUCAACUGAUCAAUACACAGCCUUGUUUUAUAUGUGUUCUUGUUUAAAGACUCCUUAUUAAGUAUAUUGUUAUUUCCUUAACAUCGAACUCGUGGCCAACAGCACUAUAACUCAACCCUGAAGAAAGGCCCAUCAGAGCAGUCUUGUACUUAGAAACACAAGAAAGUGUUUUGCUGCUGUGGAAUAUUAAGUGAUAACUUCACCAACCCAAAGCACACAAUAUGAAAACUGUGGCACUGUGGAAGGAACACUUACUUAUAGCAUGAGAAAUCAAACAAGAAGCGAGAAUCGCCUUAUUCAACCUCAGCUGGGAACGUGCAUGUCAGGCACUCAAACUCUUCUCUACACAGGUGUUGGUGAAUAGCCACAAAAGUGUCACAAGUACUGAUUUGGAGUUACAACUGAAUUUCAUGAGUAGACUAUUUCACAAUUAUGGAAUAUGCGAGUGAUGAGGAUUGAGUGUACUACCUGUAUUAUUUUCAAACACAGAAUAUGAUGGCCAUGCUCAUGGAAUGAUUCUGAACUGGAACAUUCUCUAAUUUGUAAAAAAAAUCUACUUUCUUAGAACUUGCCACAUAUAUAACUGCCACUCAUUUGAAGUUAUCUAUUGGGUAGUAAUAGCACUUUUUUUUUCUCAAAGAAAUAAAACUGUUUUGCUUCCAUGAGAGCAUCACCCAAAGGCUGAGUGAUGAGGUAGAUACUGCUGCAAGCCAGAAGAAGCCCUUGGGACACAAAGGUGACCUCAGCAAAAUUAUAGAUGACUCACAUUAGGUGUGUGUGUCUGGGUACGGAGGAUUAUAUAUGAUUGUCUUACAAAGUCACUCUUUUAAGCCAAAUCUUGCCCUCUUUGAGUCAUUUCUUCACUUACCUUUCAUGUUGUGAGCAGCUGCUAAGUAAUGCAUAUGUGCUUUUUAAAAAUUAUUGACUCUCAUCUUGUUGCAAAGGCUGGAUGCGGAACUAUAAAACAAGACACUGACCUCUCAUACAAGCCAAAGGCACAGUGCCACAUGGAUUUUAAAAAACAGAAAAGGGGGCAAAUUGGGAAAGGAGAGUGAGCAGGGAGGGGACACAUGCAAAGAUUUGGAUACUGAGGAUUAUAAGAGGAGGUUCCAAAGCUUCUUAUUUUGUUUUUGUUGGAGUACGUUUGGUUCUGUCCUGUUUGGAAUGAAGUCUCUGCUCUGUUAUUUAUUAGUGCUAUGAUCCUAACAAAGUCAGUUAACUUCUCUGAGAACUUUCCCCUCCUCUGUGAAAUGAGACCAAUAUAUCAAGUUCUUGGAAAGACUGUGAUGACUGAAUGACAUAGUGAAUUCAGAUGCUGAGAUAAUGCAUGUCUAAGUCCAGCAGAAAAUUCUAUGGAAGCAGCAGUUGGUAAUUGUUGCCUGUGUUAGAAUUUUUCCAAUUCCUAAGCAGCUAUCUGAUUUCUGAGUCAUGCACAUUUAUGAAAACAUGGAAGAUUUGGGGUGAAGAGAGAAGAGACUGCAGGGUUAACUUUCUCCUUAUGUUGGGGAAAAAAUAAACUGCAUAGGAUCCAGGCAGUGUGACAUCAUGUAAGUUAGGGCAGGAGCAAAAGGGGAGCCCAGCUCCCUGUGGCCAGUUCAUAACUAUAAAACUGCUGUGCAAUUAGAAUUCCCUUUCAGAUCCUCUGUCCACAACUAUUAACUGCCCGUUAAUUGCACGCCCACCUCAACAGCCAGGUGACCUCUGCUCAGUGGGUCACUAUCACAUUGGCAGGAAGACUUGGUGCUAAUUGCAUCUGCCAAGUAGAACUUUUAAGAGCAGGAUCCACUGAGCACAGCAUCUUCAUACCUCUUGACUGUACAUAUAAAUAGCUAUGGGCAGAUAAUAUUCAUACCAUAUAAAUGUUGGACAAAUCCAGAAGGAUCAUGGAAGCCACAGAAAAAUGCCUAUUUAAUUUUUGAGGGGCUAGUUAUUGAACCCAAGACCUUUGUAAUAAGUUAUAUUAUCAGUCUUUAAAAAACGUCUUUUAAAUUGUGAGACAGGAUCUUAUUAAAUUGCUGAGUUGCCGGGGCUGGACUCAAAGUUGCAGUCCUUCUGCCUCAGUCCCCUAGAGUGCUGGGACCAUUGGGGUGUGCUACUGUGCUUGCUAGGAAUGCUCUUUUUUAUUUUUUAAAAAGGGAUCAACUAUUUCUGCAGUUCUCUGUAGCUAUUUACAAGAUGCUGUCUUGGAAAAGCCCAAAGGAAAAUGCUGCUGGCUAUAUAACAUCCUUCCCAGAGCUUACGAGCUGUCAUACAAUAAAGGGACCAGAGGAUUGUGCCGCACAAACUGAGGUGAGGCUGGUUAACUUCCACCAAGCUUCUAUAGAGUGCAGUACAGGCUUAAAGUGGGCUGUUCCAAGAUGCCAGUGCUGUUGUUUUCAGUUAUGAGUUUGGGGUGAUGGAUGAGAAAGGCAGUCCUGGGGGAACCUUUUUAAGAAACAGGUGGUGCCAUGGGAUGAUGGAUCAUGUGGACUUCAGGCAAGAAGUUGUAUCCAUAAAGACGGGUGCUAGCAAGUCAAGUAAGAUGUUCAUAGCAGGCUGAAGCACGGGUCAGAGUCUGGGCAGAGGUCAAACGAGAGAGUAGUCUGUGCUAUGGACUGUAACAAAGAGAGCUGAGUGCUGGGGAAGCACCAAAAUUGGGAGUAAGCCCAUGGCUCAGGUGGGGCCCAUUUCUGCUCAGUUGGGUUAGGUUAUAAGAGCAGGGAUAAAGCCGUGGAAAUGGCUUUCAGGCCUGGUGGGAUAGGUAGACCUUUGUCUAUCUUAUCAGACAGA